UGCCUUUAAUGAUGGAGGGGAGUGGUGUGGGGAACCUGAUUAAUGCUCACCGCCCUGACCUUUUGCAUUCUGCCUUUGUAGAGAGAGAGAGGAGGAGGAGGAUGAGAGGAAGAGGAUGAGAGCACUGAAGACGUCUGCUUACAAUUCAUCCAUUUCAAUCAAUAAAAACUGAACUCCAUCCUGAUGAACACCAUUGCACCAGAGUCCAUCUCCUUCUUGCUUCUUGAACCGGGAAAGGGGAAGCAAUGGAGUCUCGAGUCCCUCCCGACACUACUUUGACUGGGCUGCUGCGGGGUCCCAGGAGGGGUGGUGGAGAUUUUUGUUACCCACGGUCUUCACAAAUGGUUGGAUACAGACAUUGAUAAUGUGAGUAUAAGGAUAUUCUUUAUAUAAGGAUAUUUUUUUAUUCAAAAUACUGAAUAUUAUAUACAAGCAUAGCAUCUGAACAGAAAUAUUCCUAUUUGUGUAUUAAACAAAUGUUUAGUUAAAUGUGCUUGGGAAUUAGGGUCUGAUUUCAAAUGUUGUAUUCACACUAUAUUGGUAAAGAGAAGUAACAAUGAUUUUACACUCCAAUGUUCACAUGCAUCACUUGAAAGCAGCACAAACUCUUAAAAGGCCAACACAAUAUGUG
rnacentral:lncRNA from 1 species